UACCACCCUUUAAUGUUUGAUGUUCUAACGUGGACCCGUGAUCCGGGUUGCGGACAGUGUCUGGUGGGUAGUUUGACUGGGGCGGUCUCCUCCUAAAGAGUAACGGAGGAGCACGAAGGUUGGCUAAUCCUGGUCGGACAUCAGGAGGUUAGUGCAAUGGCAUAAGCCAGCUUGACUGCGAGCGUGACGGCGCGAGCAGGUGCGAAAGCAGGUCAUAGUGAUCCGGUGGUUCUGAAUGGAAGGGCCAUCGCUCAACGGAUAAAAGGUACUCCGGGGAUAACAGGCUGAUACCGCCCAAGAGUUCAUAUCGACGGCGGUGUUUGGCACCUCGAUGUCGGCUCAUCACAUCCUGGGGCUGAAGUAGGUCCCAAGGGUAUGGCUGUUCGCCAUUUAAAGUGGUACGCGAGCUGGGUUUAGAACGUCGUGAGACAGUUCGGUCCCUAUCUGCCGUGGGCGCUGGAGAACUGAGGGGGGCUGCUCCUAGUACGAGAGGACCGGAGUGGACGCAUCACUGGUGUUCGGGUUGUCAUGCCAAUGGCACUGCCCGGUAGCUAAAUGCGGAAGAGAUAAGUGCUGAAAGCAUCUAAGCACGAAACUUGCCCCGAGAUGAGUUCUCCCUGAGACUUAGAGUCUCCUGAAGGAACGUUGAAGACGACGACGUUGAUAGGCCGGGUGUGUAAGCGCAGCGAUGCGUUGAGCUAACCGGUACUAAUGAACCGUGAGGCUUAACCUUACAACGCCGAAG
rnacentral:rRNA from 1 species